rnacentral:rRNA from 1 species
UACGAAGGGGGCUAGCGUUGCUCGGAAUGACUGGGCGUAAAGGGCGCGUAGGCGGUUUGUACAGUCAGAUGUGAAAUUCCUGGGCUUAACCCGGGGGCUGCAUUUGAUACGUGCAGACUUGAGUGAGGAAGAGGGUUGUGGAAUUCCCAGUGUAGAGGUGAAAUUCGUAGAUAUUGGGAAGAACACCGGUGGCGAAGGCAGGUCUCUGGGCUAGAACUGACGCUCAUGCACGAAAGCGUGGGGAGCAAACAGG